GAGAGAGAGAGAGAGAGAGAGAGAGAGAGAGAGAGAGAGAGAGGGCUCUCUGGGGGAAAACACAUCCAAUCAAGCGGCUGCCUUCUGAUUUAAUCUUAUUCAUUUGGGAAUAUCGAUCCGUGUCGAUCAGUAAGGAUACUUUUUAUUUUUUUGAGGAAACUUUUCUGCAUCAUCAUCAUCCUCCGACACGAGGACGCGCUCGACUUUCUUUCUUCUUCUUUUGUUCUUCCUUUGUCGGAUAAAACGCCAAUAACGCGGCUGACUUCUCAUAAGUGGUGACAAGUCGUCUCGGGGCUCGGAUGUGCGACCGGGGCACGCGGUGUCCCUUCAACAGAGGCGAGCUGCGCGAGGAAUACAAAUGACAACGCGCAGAAUGAGUCAAGCUGCCCGCCGCCGUGGAGCCUCGAACCUGAACGUUUAGCGUCGUCUCGUACGCUGCUGUCCCAUUCCGGCUUCGAAGAGGAGUCAAAGAAAUACCGUAAAGUGUGUCGUGUGGUCUGCCACCGCAACCAUAGGCCGAGGGAUGACCGUCAAGCUGGACUUUGAGGAGUGUUUGAAAGACUCUCCUCGCUUCAGAGCUGAAAUCGAAGUGGUCCAAAGCGAUGUGAGUGAACUCGAGACACGACUAGAAAAGCUUGUGAAACAAUGCCAUGCCAUGCUGGAGGCAGGCAGAGUCUACUGCCAGACCAGCAAGAGCUUUGUGAAUGGCCUCCGGGAUCUGGGGCAGCACUGCUCUGGGGACAAGACGAUGGAGGAGUGUUUGGACAAAUUUUCCAUAAAGCUGUCUAUCAUCUUGGAGGCUCAGGGGGAUGUGAUUGAGACCACACAGAAGUCCGUCAAGACGAAGCUGCAGAACUUUGUCAAAGAAGAUGUGCGUCGUUUCAAGGACGUGCGCAAGGAGUUUGAGCGCGGCAGCGAAUGCCUGGAGGGGGCGCUGAUGAGGAACGCUCAGGCCCCGCGGGGGAAGCAACACGAAGUGGAGGAGGCGAGCAACGCUCUGCUCAACGCUCGCAGGACCUUUCGGUCUGAGGCCCUGGAUUACGUGCUGGAGAUUAACGUCAUUGAGGCCAAGAAGAAGACAGACAUCCUGAUGGCAAUGUUGUCACUGAUGGAGGCCCAGGCACAGCUCUUCCAACAUGGCCACCAGUCUCUCUCCGAACUGGAUGAGUAUCGACGGAAGUUGAACGAAGAGCACACUCAGUUUGUCCUAAAUUCUGCCCGAGAGAAGAGAGACAUGGAGCAAAGACAUGCUGCAAUAAAGAAAAAGGACGUGUCCUAUGAUGACUCGAUCAUGGAUUUCAACGCUGCCUCAACGAAUGGGAUUGCCAUGGAGGGAUACCUCUACAAGAGAGCCAGCAACGCCUUCAAGACCUGGAGCAGGCGUUGGUUUUCGAUUCAGAAAAGUCAGCUGGUGUAUCAGAAGAGAUUCAAGGACCAGCCGACAGCUGUGGUGGAGGACUUGCGUCUCUGCACAGUGAAGCCCAGCGCUGAAAACGAGAGGCGCUUCUGCUUUGAAGUGGUCUCCCCGUCAAAGUGUUGUUUGUUGCAGGCCGACUCCGAGAGGCAGCAGCAGGCGUGGAUCAGUGCCGUCCAAAACAGCAUCGCCUCAGCCUUUCAGGAGCACAGAGACGAUUCACACAGCCCAAGACAGCGCUGCAGCUCGGUGUCUCUGAACAGUUUGGGAGGAGGGGGAGGAGGAGGAGUGGAUCAGGAUAACAAGGGCUGCAAGGCCUUGGAGGAGGUCCAGGCAAUCCCGGGUAACAAGAACUGCUGCGACUGUGGGGAGCCUGGUCCUGAUUGGGCCUCUAUCAACCUGGGCAUCACGCUUUGUAUCGUCUGCUCAGGAAUACACAGGAGCCUGGGAGUCCAUUUCUCCAAAGUACGCUCCCUCACUCUCGACUCCUGGGAGCCAGAGCUCAUUAAGUUGAUGUGUGAAUUAGGAAACACAGUAAUCAACAGGAUCUACGAGGCUCGGAUUGAUGAGCUCACCAUCAAGAAGCCCCACCCCUCCAGUCCCAGAGGAGACAAGGAGUCGUGGAUCCGAUCAAAGUACGUUGAAAAGAAGUUCACCCAUAAGCUGCCCGAGACCGGCAGGAACCCGCUGCUGAGGCGAGCCAGCGGCAGGAGGAACCGAACCGACACGCAGGACCAGGCCGUCCAGCGGCCGCCGCUCAAACCCAAGCCGAACCGAGCCACUCUGCCUCGGGUCACAGGGCUGAGCCCCAGUGACCUUGUCCAAAAGAACAAUGCACACAAAGACGUUGACGAAGAGGAAGAGGAUCUGAGCGGACUGCACCCCGGGGCGUUGUUGUACCGCUCGGCAGCCCUGCAGAACUUCCCCGUCAUGGCGGACGCUUUGGCCCACGGCGCCAGCGUCAACUGGGUCAACGCGGCCGAGGAGUCCAGCACGCCGCUGAUACAGGCGGUUUCAGCGAAUGCGCUGGCAGCCUGCGAGUUCCUGCUGCAGAACAGUGCCAACGUCAACCAGACAGACAGCAAUGGAAGAGGACCGCUUCACCACGCCACCAUCCUGGGUCACACCGGGCUGGUUUGUCUCUUCUUGAAGCGAGGAGCCGACUACAACGCCAAAGACAAGACUCACAAAGACCCCAUCACUAUUGCCGUGGACACCGCCAACGCUGACAUCGUCACUUUGCUGCGCAUCGCCAAAAUGAACAAGGAGAUGCGGGAGAUGGACGGAGCGUUUGGCCAAUCAGGUCAAUCGGGGGGGCAGGGGUCUGGGGGUUUAGUAGUUGUGGCAGGAGGAGGGCGGGCCCACACCAGGAAGAGCCUCCUGGCUCUCAAGAACCACAUAAGUGGCUGGGCUCUGGGGGGUCAAAAUGAUUAGUGGGGGUAGAAAUCAGCCCGGGACAAGAGACAGGCAGCGAGACUGGAAUGAGCCUGUUUUUGGUUGUAAGCUAGAAGUGUUUUUGUUUGUUUUUUGUCAAGUCGUUCAGCAUCAGGAAUCACUGGUUCUGCAGUGGGACAGUCUCGAGGUCACGAGUGAGAACCGAUUUGAUUACAUCAGUGAAGACAGGAAAAUGUCAUGUGGAACUAAAGUUCACAUUGCACUUUGAAUAACUAACGCACAUCAUCCUGCACUUUGAAACACACACACACACACACACACACACACAAUCUCCGCGUCAAUACAGAGUGCUGCAUGCGGGCGUUUCCAAUGUUGUAUGACAGAGGUUUAUUUGUAUGACAGACUUACAUCAGGCCUGUGUUUUUUUUUUUAAUAAUGUAUAUUUGUGAUAUUGUUUUAUACAUAGUGUGUACAGUGUUCGGGCUCCAGAUAGUUUUUAUUGUGUUUAUGUGUACUGGCCAUGUUGUUUUUCCCGUCCAGUUAUGUAAGCUAAAUGCAAUGUCUGGUUUGGUCCUCAGGGACGAUUUUAUCCCGCUAUUCUGUGAAUAGUUUGAACUCUGUUUAUAUAUUACGUGUUUGAAUUCAUCAGAAUUUCAAGAGCUUUGUGCUGCAGAUCUCGAGCUUAAGGUUAACGGCGGGUUGUGUUUGCAUUUUGUCAUUUGGCUCCUUUUCAAGCUACAAAGUCCAUUCUUUCAUGAUUGUCCCUAAGUGGCUCUUUGUCUUUUUAAGUUCUUGUGUAAGCUGUUUUUCUAUCACGGUUUCACUCAUGAAGGAAUGGAAACGUGAUGCUUUUUGUCUGCUUGAAACAACUGCUGGUCAGUAUUUGACGUGCUUUAUCACUGUGUGUCUUUUGUUGUGUGCACUCAUGUGCCUUUUGCCUUCUGCCCGCUGAGAUGUCCAGCUGCUCUCAACUGCUUGUGCAGUGUGCCACCUACUGCAAACUAAGAGGUGAUGAAACCUACCACGACAUCUUCAGAGACUUUUCACACAUGGCCUCAAACAACCCAGAGAAGCUCAAGCGCCGCAGUGCCGACCCCAAAACCUAACCAGCCCCCCCCCUCCUUGCAUACCUUCAACCGCGUAUAUAGACAGCGUGCUCGUAUCCAACACACGGGCACGCACACGCACACAUUUGCCCUGGCUACCUGCCACGUGUUCGGUCAUAGCUCAGCUGGUGUUGACUUCAGAGGGGAACGAACGCUCCAAACAGUGAAUUCUUUGUGCGAACGUGUCAGACCAGAACAAUUGUGUCCAAGUGGGAACACUGUGGCAGAGUCAUGAGAGCAGCAUGCGGCGUCUCUAUGUGCAGCAGAGGGUAACAUCACUUUGCCGAGAUUUCUUAAUUAAAUGUGGUGAAUCUGUUGAGGAUUUUUUUAUUUUUUAAACUAAAAAGGGCAGUUUCAUUUUUGGAAAUGGACAUAAUUGUGGCAAAGAUUAAUUGAACUCUUCCAUCAAAUUGUAAUGUACACAGUACAUUUUUUUUUAAGACCUUUUUAUGGGCCGUUUUGUUACUGUGUGGAGGUACUUGAUUUGUAUCAUGAUCAAAUAAACUACGAUACAAAAGAUGCA